UCUCCAGGCUGAGAGGAUCACCGCUCCUGGUUCAUUUUAAACGGCUUCAACGAAACAUCCACCGCAAAACUAACUGCUCAGUUUAAUAAAAGGAAAAUAGAUCAAGAUGAAAGCGGGAAGUUUUUCGUUGAGUAACGAAGAAACGAAUAUUUAGGAGGAAGUUCAGAUCCAGUAGUUUUUCCGCUUUAGUCUGUUUUUCUUUCUUCUCAUGCAGGAAUCACGCUGUUUGCUUCGUUUUCGUUAAAAACCGCAAAGCAACCAGUGAUUAUGCAAUGCUUCCUGACUGAAAGAUGCAUUCAAUGAUGGCUGAAUGCCGCCGGAGGAACUUCCUGUUUCCAUGAUGUCAGCGCAGGAAGCCAGAGGCACCUGCCUGUCAGAGAUCCUGUUUUCAGUCCUAAAUCAUCUGGAAAACUCUGGAAAUGGUUUGAAUAAGUAUUUCUAAUAAGAUGAAAAUGAAAAUGAUGUAGGGAAAAUAUGACUAAUGAUUCUAUUUAAGCCUUUUAUGUUUAAAGUAAAAAAAAAAAACUAUAAAAAGGUAUUAAUGUUUAUGAAACAUGUUUAGAUAUUUUUAACAACCAAACAGAAAACCCACAGAUGAUUUAUCUCAUUAAAAUAAAUAACCUAUUUCGGACGUUUUAAAGCGUCUAGUUUUAUGGAUCUUAAAGCAGAUCUCGCCUCUUUUUUUAGCGUUUUCGGUCAAAAAUGAUUUAGUUGAAAGGAAGUUUUCUUUAUGUUCUGAUCUCCAUUGCUGCAGUGGGAGGAUGUCAGCAAAUCUCACUAGAUCUGCAUGUUAUAUACGCACUCAUAAACUCAGGUGAUUCAAAGUGAAACAUUAACAUCUUUACAUCAUUAGUUUCACCUGUUUGGUCCCAGUUGGACGUCUGAGGUCCGAAUGCAGGAGAAAUGAAGAACAGGAAGUAAAUGUUGCUUCUGAUUUCUGAAGGUGUCAUCAUGGAGUGUCCUUCCUUCCCCACCGCCGGGUCUGACAGGCUGACUCCAGCUGAGCAAAUCAAACCUGGUGGGAUUAGAUCCUCCUGGCAGUAUUGAGUGAGGGUAGCUCUUCUGAAGCUAAAGGAGGCAGAUCUAGAAUAUCACUUUCUACUGCUGUUUAUUGGCUCUGUGAGAAAUGGAGGAAUGGGAGUGGCUCAGAGUCUUCCUGUUUAAAAGAAAUUAAUGUGGUGACAUCGCUUUGAUGAAAGGACUGGAGAACGGUCUGCAGAUUCCUGCCUCCCGGAGAAGCUGCAGAGACCCAACCUAAAGUCAGCCGUUACAUCUAUCCGUUCCACUUUGAACUCUACAUGCGUGUCACAUUGAAGUUUAAAAAAUGUUUUAUUCUAACUUUGGGUCUCGUUCAUAGCUGCACCCUAACGUAUAGACUGUUCUCUGUCCUAAAAACUAUUCAUCAAAGUAAGGGUAGAGAUCAACUUUGCAUCGAGCUGCUGGACUAAAAAUGACUGGUCUGGAUUAUUUGUUUACCUAUAAAAUGUGUCUGAAAGAAACAGGACCGGGGACAUUAACCCUUUGCAUGACUUCAUUUCAAACCCAAAAGUGUAAAGACCCUCCUGAUGUUCAGUUAUCUGAAUGUGAGAUGUUGAUGUACAUUAAAUUAAUGUCAUUAAAAUUCCAGUUUGUUUGCUUAAAUUUGCAUCUUUUCUAAGCAACAGGGUUUUGUUUUGCUACUGUAUAAAGCCUGGAACUCAACGCUAUUUCUGACAUUUUGAACUGAAAAAGCUUCCUGGAUGGAAGAGAAACGUCUUCAAAGUUGGAAACUUUUGGAAUGACUUGAGUGUUUUGGGCACUGAGUGCCAUAUAAAGGGUUAACCCCUUGGAGGAAAUUUUGUCUUAUCUGCUCAUAUAAGGGAAAAUUCACUUUUUUAGGAAAAAUUAUUUUUUUUAAGGUCAUCAUUGGAACAGAUGCUCUAAGCCAGGGGUGGGAAAUUGCAGUUCCUGGGGGCCAUUCUCCUGCAACUUUUAGAUGUACCCUUGGUUCAACACACCUGAAUCAUGUUAUUAGAUGCUAGAGGGGACUCUGGAGGAACUGACUGCAUCCUGAGAAGGAAACUCAUUGAUUCAGGUGUGUUGGACCAAGGAGGGCUCCUAAAUGUGCAGGAUACCGGUGCCCAGGAACUGGAAUUGCCCAUCCCUGCUCUAAACAGUUGAAUGGGAUUAUUUAUUUCUUAACAACCAACUGGUGCUGUCAACUAGUUUGAUGAAACUUUGUUCUUUAGCUGCAAAAAUAAAUAAAAUC